AUUUCCCGAAGAAGUGAUGGAUGAGAAGAACGGGUCACCCAGGAGAACAAAACCAAAUGGAAACAACACAGAAGGCCUGAAAGACAAGUUCUCUGAGAAGGCUGGAAAAGUCCCUUGCCAGAGUGGAAUGCUCACGAGCUGCUGGAGGACAAGGUCGCCCGCCAGGAGGAUGGGGCCGCACAACUCCUGCAUUCUACUUAGAAGACAAGCAAGGGCAAGCACAACAACACCAUGACCACCUCCAAGGUUCUUCAUAUAAAGCAAGAUCAGACUGCAACCUGCCUUUGAUUGGAAAACCAAAAGAUCUGCCAGUUUAUAUUUUUGGUACCUACAAAACAUCUGUUGCUUGGGAAAGUGGACUCAUUCACAAAGUUUAUCAUCAUCAAAUCAAACUGUUGCAAACCUCAUAAUAUGAGAGCCGUCUUCGUAUUUAAUAGUAAACUCACCAGGCUUGUGGGCUGAUGCCUGAUAAACCAACUUUUUGGAAUUUUUA